rnacentral:rRNA from 1 species
UGAACGCUGGCGGCGUGCCUAAUACAUGCAAGUCGAGCGAACAGAUGAGGAGCUUGCUCCUCUGACGUUAGCGGCGGACGGGUGAGUAACACGUGGAUAACCUACCUAUAAGACUGGGAUAACUUCGGGAAACCGGAGCUAAUACCGGAUAAUAUAUUGAACCGCAUGGUUCAAUAGUGAAAGACGGUUUUGCUGUCACUUAUAGAUGGAUCCGCGCCGCAUUAGCUAGUUGGUAAGGUAACGGCUUACCAAGGCAACGAUGCGUAGCCGACCUGAGAGGGUGAUCGGCCACACUGGAACUGAGACACGGUCCAGACUCCUACGGGAGGCAGCAGUAGGGAAUCUUCCGCAAUGGGCGAAAGCCUGACGGAGCAACGCCGCGUGAGUGAUGAAGGUCUUCGGAUCGUAAAACUCUGUUAUUAGGGAAGAACAGAUGUGUAAGUAACUAUGCACGUCUUGACGGUACCUAAUCAGAAAGCCACGGCUAACUACGUG